rnacentral:rRNA from 1 species
GACGAACGCUGGCGGCGUGCUUAACACAUGCAAGUCGAACGAGGUCCACCGCGUAGCAAUACAAGGGAAGACCUAGUGGCGAACGGGUGCGUAACACGUGAGGAACUUGUCCCGGUCUCUGGGAUAACAGUUGGAAACGACUGCUAAUACCGGAUGACGUCGGAAUCUCGCAUGGGAUACUGACGAAAGGGUUACUGGAUCGGGAGAGCCUCGCGGCCUAUCAGCUUGUUGGUGAGGUAACGGCUCACCAAGGCAUCGACGGGUAGCUGGUCUGAGAGGAUGAUCAGCCACACUGGGACUGAGACACGGCCCAGACUCCUACGGGAGGCAGCAGUGGGGAAUCUUGCGCAAUGGGCGAAAGCCUGACGCAGCAACGCCGCGUGCGGGAAGAAGGCCCUCGGGUUGUAAACCGCUUUCAGCAGGAACGAAAUGACGGUACUUGCAGAAGAAGGUGCGGCCAACUACGUGCCAGCAGCCGCGGUAA